AUAAAGACGAUGAUGGAGAAAGUAGGCGGCACGCCGCGCACUUACAGAGAGAAAACCCCGGCGGCUGAGAGGGUUUUGGUGAACAGUGCUACUGAAGUUCCCUCCUGAGUUUUGACUGCCAAGGCACAUGGUGCUUGUAGUGGUCAACGUCAACGUGACGUUAUACGUGAGGGGCCGCGCCAAAUGGGUUGCGGCAACAAAGGUGGUACCGCGGAAUUUAUUCGUCCUUUAU
rnacentral:ncRNA from 1 species